UCUAUGUUACAUGAAGGAAAGGGCUGC
rnacentral:piRNA from 1 species